AACAAUCUGAUGAUGGGAACGAGUAAUGAACCGGAACAUUCACAGAGAGCCGACGGUCGGUGUAAGUCGGUAAUGAAAGGUUGAUGAAAAUCCUCCCUGAAGAGAAGUGCUGAACUGAUUAAGCACUUACGAUUUUUCCACGUUAUAGGAAACGCGUAUGUUGGUACGUUGUAGAGAGCUUUUAUCAGUAAUGGUAAAAGAAUCAGGGUGGUAACGCGGAAUUCUCCGUCCCUCUU
rnacentral:ncRNA from 1 species